rnacentral:tRNA from 1 species
UAGCUCAGUGGUAGAGUGCUUGCCUUGCAUGUAUGAGGCCCUGGGUUCGAUUCCUCG